rnacentral:rRNA from 1 species
GUUGGUGGAGUGAUUUGUCUGGUUAAUUCCGAUAACGAGCGAGACCUCAGCAUACUAAUUAGCUAUAGAAAUCUUCGGAUUUCUGAUUCAAUAGCUUCUUAGAGGGACUAUCGGUGUGUAGCCGAUGGAAGUUUGAGGCAAUAACAGGU